ensembl:lncRNA
CUGCCCGCCUAGGGUACACUUCUUGAGAAGAAGAGUUAAAGCCUUCAGGUCACCUGCAAGCCUCUGACAACAUCCCUCCAGGAACCUAGACGGGUGCAGAGCCUAGCUGAAAUCCAGGGAAGCUCAGUUUACUCAUCUCUAAACUGAGAAGAUCCUCCCCAGGGUCCGAAGCACCGGCCACUCCAUCAUCUGAAAGCUUUGUGGCAACACAGCACCUUUCAUUUGAAGCUGCUUCCCAGAGCUGUGCUGAUAACACUCGGCUUGGCGGUGAAGGGAGAAAGGAAGCUGAUAAGGCCAAGAGAACAUCAGAAAGUUAUGCCUCCUAAAUGCAACCGCCAAAUGAAAGUGCUUGAAAACAUUUACAGAUCCUGUUCUGCUGGCCAGGUCUCCCGCACAGGAGAUGAGACCUAUCACCCUGGAGCUUCUUCUCCCUCUUCUCCCUGA